UGGGAAAUGUGGUUGCCCAAUUAGUCCCUGUGCCAACAAAGAAAAACAGUGACCUAGUGGGAAACCAUAGCUCCCA
rnacentral:pre_miRNA from 1 species